AUUGAACGCUGGCGGCAGGCCUAACACAUGCAAGUCGAACGGAGCGGCGGACGGGUGAUUAAUGCCUAGGAAUCUGCCUGGUAGUGUGGGAUAACGUCCGGAAACGGGCGCUAAUACCGCAUACUAUCAGAUGAGCCUAGGUGGGUGUAGCUAGUUGGUGGGGUAAAGGCCUACCAAGGCGACGAUCCGUAACUGGUCUGAGAGGAUGAUCAGUCACACUGGAACUGAGACACGGUCCAGACUCCUACGGGAGGCAGCAGUGGGGAAUAUUCGACAAUGGCCGAAAGCCUGAUCCAGCAAUGCCGCGUGUGUGAAGAAGGUCUUCGGAUUGUAAAGCCCUGUAAGUUGGGAGGCGGUACCAAAACAAAAAGCACCGGCUAACUGCGUGCCAGCAGCCGCGGUAAUAC
rnacentral:rRNA from 1 species